AUUGAACGCUGGCGGCAUGCCUAACACAUGCAAGUCGAACGGAGGGCUUCGGCCCUCAGUGGCGGACGGGUGAGUAACGCGUAGGGAUCUGCCCCGCAGUGGGGGACAACCUGGGGAAACUCAGGCUAAUACCGCAUACGCUCCAUGGAGGAAAGCGGGGGACCUUCGGGCCUCGCGCUGCGGGAUGAACCUACGUCCGAUUAGCUAGUUGGUGGGGUAAGGGCCCACCAAGGCGACGAUCGGUAGCUGGUCUGAGAGGACGGCCAGCCACACUGGGACUGAGACACGGCCCAGACUCCUACGGGAGGCAGCAGUGGGGAAUAUUGGACAAUGGGCGCAAGCCUGAUCCAGCAAUGCCGCGUGGGUGAAGACGGCCUGCGGGUUGUAAAGCCCUUUUAGGCGGGGAAGAACGGCCGGGCGCAAAUAGCGCGCGGCUCUGACGUUACCCGCAGAAUAAGCACCGGCUAACUCCGUGCCAGCAGCCGCGGUAAU
rnacentral:rRNA from 1 species